rnacentral:rRNA from 1 species
UACGUAGGCAGCAAGCGUUGUUCGGAGUUACUGGGCGUAAAGGGUGUGUAGGCGGUUGGAUAAGUGUGGUGUGAAAUCUCCCGGCUCAACUGGGAGGGUGCGCUACAAACUGUCUGACUAGAGUGCGGGAUGGGAAAGUGGAAUUCCUGGUGUAGCGGUGAAAUGCGUAGAUAUCAGGAGGAACACCGGUGGUGUAGACGGCUUUCUGGACCGUAACUGACGCUGAGAACACGGAAAGCGUGGGGAGCAAACAGG